CCACUUUACCCACCAUUCCCCCAUCCCCUCUCCCUGCUCCUAUUCCUGAAGCCCUCUGGUGCUUGUGUCCUGAGAUCCUGAGGGUGUCCCCAUGUGCUCUCCUGUCCUGAAGCAGACGUGGACAGUGGAAGCUACUUCUUCUAAGUGGGCUGAUCUCAUGGCCAUGGUAACAGGCACGUGCCUAGGUCCAGACAGAAAGACCUGGCAGCAACCUCAGGUUCAUCUUCAGCCCUCUUUUCAAGUUUGAUCUCACCCACCCGUGGCCACUGCACACUGUGUCCUGAAGGUCAGUUGCUGCCCAAAGUGCCAGGAGAUUUCAUGUCUACUGAAGGGCUCACUCUCUGCUCCAAAAAAUUGAUUCUACCAUGAGGAAAAGAAGGAACACUGGAAAUCACAUGGCAGGAGAAUGGAAGCUUUUCCAAAAAUUGUGAUGAAGCAGGCAGGGACAAGAAAAGGGGCCUUAUUAAAUGCCACUGGACCUUCCUCAAAGAGUUCCAUAGCCGGUCAAGGCCCAGCCACUGGAGAGGAACUCGGAAGUCACCGAGAAGCUGCAACUUGAGCGGCACCCCGCAAAGGUUGCUCCUAACAUUAUUCCCAGGGAUGGAAUAUACAUCCUUCAAACUACAAGGAACUCAAUUAUGCCCUGUACUUUUUGCUUUUCCAAGUGUGAGAUCAAGGUAAAAACGUGCAAGAUGAGUCACUGAAUACCCGUCUCCUUUAGUUUUAUUUUUCUUUGCACAUUAAAAUCAUAUUUCCUUGUUUUGGGGUAAGAUGGAAAAGGGAAAAUGUUGGUCAAAAUGUUCAAAUUUUCAGUUGUAAAUUCUUGUGAUCAAAUCCACAGCAAGAUGAUUAUGGUUAAUAAAACUAUUAUUCUUAGGUAUGAGGUCAUAAAUAUUCUUAACACACAUGGUGACUGUGAAAUUGUGGAUGUAGAGUCAAUUGAAAUUUGACUGUGAUAAUUUCAGAAUAUGUGUGUUUAUCAAAGCAUCAUAUUGUAUACACACUUAUCAAAGAUGUGCUUAGA